rnacentral:rRNA from 1 species
GUGUCAGCCGCCGCGGUAAUACGUAGGCAGCAAGCGUUGUUCGGAGUUACUGGGCGUAAAGAGUGCGUAGGCGGUCCUUUAAGUUCGGUGUGAAAUCUCCCGGCUCAACUGGGAGGGUGCGCCGGAAACUGGAGGGCUCGAGUAUGGGAGAGGAAAGCGGAAUUCCUGGUGUAGCGGUGAAAUGCGUAGAUAUCAGGAGGAACACCUGCGGUGUAGACGGCUUUCUGGACCAUGACUGACGCUGAGGCACGAAAGCGUGGGGAGCAAACAGGAUUAGAUACCCCGGUAGUCC